AGGACGAACGCUGGCGGCGUGCUUAACACAUGCAAGUGGAGCGACGAACCAGGGCUUGCCCUGGGGCAGAGCCGCGAACGGGUGAGUAACACGUGGGUUACCUGCCUCAAUGACUGGGACAACCCGAGGAAACUCGGGCUAAUACCGGAUGUGCCCGCAAGGGGAAAGGAAGCUUCGGCCUCCGCAUUGAGAUGGGCCCGCGGCCCAUUAGCUUGUUGGUGAGGUAACGGCUCACCAAGGCUUCGAUGGGUAGCUGGUCUGAGAGGACGAUCAGCCACACUGGGACUGAGACACGGCCCAGACUCCUACGGGAGGCAGCAGUGGGGAAUCUUGCGCAAUGCGCGAAAGCGUGACGCAGCAACGCCGCGUGGGGGAAGAAGGCUUUCGGGUUGUAAACCCCUUUCAGUUGGGACGAAGCUCCGUCGGUAAAUAGCCGAUUGGGGUGACGGUACCUUCACAAGAAGCACCGGCUAACUACGCGCCAGCAGCCGCGGU
rnacentral:rRNA from 1 species